rnacentral:rRNA from 1 species
CACGUAGGGGACGAGCGUUGUCCGGAUUCAUUGGGCGUAAAGCGCGCGUAGGCGGCUCGGAAAGUCGGUCGUGAAAUGCCGGGGCUCAACCCCGGGACUGCGUCCGAUACUCUCGAGCUGGAGGCAGGUAGGGGAGAUCGGAAUUCCUGGUGUAGCGGUGAAAUGCGCAGAUAUCGGGAGGAACACCAGUGGCGAAGGCGGUUACCUGGAGCUUUUGCUGACGCUGAUGCGCGAAAGCGUGGGGAGCGAUCGG